rnacentral:lncRNA from 1 species
GGUAAAUGAUACAUUGACACGGUAAACAAAAUGGCUACCAAGAGGCGAGAGACGCUUCGAGCUGUCAACUGGCGACAGUUCAGCGAAGCCAAAGUUGGCUUUACGUGAAGGUAGUUCGAGGAAGAGCCUUUUCCUAACAAUUUCUCAAAGUUCUGUAUCCAGCAGGAAUGAAAAUCCAGUGUCAUGGACUAAACAAGAAACUUGUAUGCUAUUUAUAAAUAAAUACAGUAUAUAUGUCUGUAUUGGAAAGAUCCCUGGAACGACAAAUGGCCAACAACCAAAGAUAAAGAGGAUAUGCCCAAGCAGUAAAAAAUGCAUGUAAAUCCCAAUGAUCAGGUAUGGUAUUCGAAUCAUAUUAUUAUUAUUGAUUUAAAUUAAAUCAACUAACCGAGCAUUGAGUGCCAGUGCCCCUCCUUGACAAGUAAAAUCAGAGUAAAAUAAUAAAGAAGGGCACAUUAGGAUGGAAUGUAACUUAACAGAUUAAAUUCAUAAUAUAAUUUCAGGCUGAACACAUUUGCAGGCUGAAACAUUUGUAAACAACAAAUGGAAAUUGAGUUGACUGCAUCUUUAAACAACAAGCUCCCAACAAUGUUGUGAUUAAAUUUGACUGAUAAAUUAAAUGCCAUUUAUAUAUUCCUAUAUUUCAUUAAUUAAAGCAAAAUAUUUUAAUUGUUCUAGGAGGUUCAUGUAGAACCCGAGUCCUAAAAACCUUGGCGAAGAAUGUGGUACAUUGAGUGAUGCAGAAAAAGAUUUUGAAAUUGACUAUGUACAUGAUUCUGUUGGCUCAGCUAUUCCUGUGCCAUCAAGUCCUGCUGCUGUGUUCAAUUUUAGUGAUAAUCUCUCACCAAUUUUCAAAGAGUCACCAUGUAAGGGCUCAGCAGGAAAUAACCCAGGUACUCUUGGUGAUAUUGUCCAAAAUCUCAUCACAGCCUUAAGUCCCAAAGAUUAAAGGAACAAUUAUUGAACUAUUUAUAAAAGCUUUUUUUAUUGAGCUUGGAGGCAUGCAUGGCUUUAUACCAAUUUGUGCAGGCAGAUUUUCUGGACAAAAGUUUAAAUGCCAUGAAAACAUUGCAAGAGGGCAAGAAGAACUUGCUUUAUGGUAUGUCAUGGUGCUUUGAGAGAUGAGAAGAUGGCACACCUGAGUGGCUUUGCCACCAGUGCCAAAACAUAUGUAAGCACAUUGGUCAAAUUUAGAAAAAUUUCUCCCACUCAUGCGGGCUCGUAUUGCCAGCGGACACUCUCCUCCGCAGAGGCUUUGUAGUUUGUUUUCUUUCUAUAUAAGUUUGACUUGCGAGCAGUAGCGGCUCCAAAUGUCCAUGAUGCCCCCUUUUAACCCCGCGCUUGCUCCCCCCGUGUGCCCACUUCUCUACCUAGCCCGCUACUGCCCGCAAGUCAAACUUAUAGAAAGAAAGAAAACAAACUCAUUCUCAUAGAAAGAAAACAAACUACAAAGCCUCUGCGGAGGAGAGUGGUCAGCGGACAUCUUACAGAAAGUGGGCAGUUCUGUGCACAGUACACACAGUACAUAACCUUAUGCACAUAUUUGUAAAUAACAAAUAACAAUGAAUAUAGUCAUUCAUAUUUAUAAACACGUUAAAAACAGACAAGUUAAUUUACUUUACAAAUGUUGAUUUUUUAAUAAGAUGGGCUGCAUCAAACCAGUUCUAUUCAGUAUAUUUUAUGCAUUUACAUAGCAGACUUGCUAGCUUUGACCACAUUAGGAUGCCAUGAACCUUUUUUGGAUAUGUUAAUUGUGUGAUAAAAUCCAAUUCGCAUAAAAGUUGUAUGUAGUUUGAUGUAUUUUAUAGACACAUGAUCAAAGCUAGGGCCGUUCAUAUGAGGGCUAAUUUACUGUGUCAGUUCACUUGCAAUCAGGGACGCCGGAACGAUAAAAAGGCAAGGGGGGCAAACACACACCAAAGGGCACCUCUGUAAACCUUGGUGAAGAUAAACCUACAAUUAUGUGUUGACUUGCCAAUGAAAGCAAACGCACUUAAUCAGGUCACAUUCAAGAUCACACCUCAUGAUUUUGCCCAUGCAAAAAGCAUCACUGGAAACGUGAUUUAUCAGGUGUAGUAUUUUAUAAC